AGUUGACACGUCAAUCUCUGACAAACGUGCCAAGACAUGAAGUCCGCUGUCCUCCGCCAGCUCUCCUGCUGCUGCUUUUCUGAAGAUAAGAAGAAACUAAAGAGAAAAGGAUUUGAGGCCCAAGUGAGUCUGAGGUGCUCCGAGUUUCUCCAUCAUCAGCUUCAGCUCCAUCAGAUCGAUGAAGUUAUCUUUCUCUGAAUCAUACCUGCGCACACGCACAACAAGCAAACAAGGCAAUCCCAUCAUGCACCCUGCUCAUGAAUAAAGAGUGCGUCUCCAUCUGCCUCAGAGACACGGCUACUGUAUUCCUGUCUUCCGACACAAGACUCCCCGCUGAUGCCAGGUCUCUCACACACACAUAAAACUGCAUCUCUUCUCAUUAACCCUGUAUCACUGACAUCUUCUCAUCACUAAUUCAAAGGCCAAAAGAGUGUGUGCAUGUUCAGGGCCACAAAAUCUCUCAAAUUAACUCCUUGUGUUGUGGCAUGUGACAUAUCAGGCUAACCUUGAUCACAGCGCUCUGAAAAAUGCUGUUUAAUGAAGGCUUGCCAUUGUGGAGCAUCUUGUUUCUCUGUGGAUGCUGCUAUCCUGGGUUUGGUUGAAGAUUACAGUACAGCAGCGGUUUAUCAAACUAAUGUGAUUUCAAGGCAAGCGAGAUUGAGUUGUUAUUUUUGAAAAGCAAAAUCAGAUCACUUGAGAAACGAGCAACCGGUGUCCACAGUGGUUUCAAAUUAAUAAUUUACGUCUGCAUAUGGCUAGUCUGUUUAACAAAAGAAAGGUCAAGCAGGCUCAGUUCAAUUAAAGGUCAGCUGUAAUUUAAAUCCAGCAUGUUUAAUUAUGCAGUCAACUCCUGAAAUCACAUAUGCUUACUUCUAAAUGAGACCUCGUGCUUUAGAAUGAACCAGAUGACCAAAGAUAACCGUUCUUUGCAUUUUAUUGUUACGAGUCGAGUGGAAUCACUUGGUGUCAUUUCCUCUCAAUCAUACUCAACAGACGCUUUUAGCCUGAACUCGGUUAAUUAUGACUUUUGGUCUCCUGGUUUAUCAACCAAUUCUAUUAUACAUAGAUAUGCAAUACAAGAAAUAUAUUGCAAAACCUAACAACCAAUAACAAUUUUCAGGUGUGCGAUAUGUAUAGUCUGUGAUAAUAUCGCAACUUUUUUUUAACGAUGUGUGAUUUGACAUUGAGUAUUUUGCAAAAAAACAUUCAAAACUCUUCUACAGAGUGCACACAUACCUUACUUGAUGUCUAGACUAGUGUGCAUGCACAUUUAGGGUGUUCUUUCACUGCAUGAUUCAGUCUGAUGAAAUGCUUUUAAAUUAAAUCACAAAUUCAAGACAUGGGGGCAGAAAAUGUAUAUAUUUAUACCAUGUUGCUGUUAUUUAAUCAUAGUCACACAAAGAGUGCAGUUUUACUCCAAAAAUGAACAAUGAUUACGCAUGGUAUACAGUUCAAUGUACAAGAAGUUAAUCAAAAGACACCAUAUUUCCUGUUUUUGCGCUAUUUCAGCAACAAAAAUAAUCCAAAACACAACCACAGCAUUAUUUUGCAACUCUGAGCAACAAGCAGCAUUUUGUUCCUGAAUGAAUCAUUCAUUUAAAUGAUUUUUUCCAAAAAAGAUUUUUACAGUGACUUACUUCCACCUACUGGUGGUUUUAAUUUCACAGAGUAUCUUUUAUUAUCUAAAUAAUUUCAAAUAGCAGUCUUAAUUUUAAAUAAUAAUAAUAAUUUUUAAAAAGUGUUAAAACUUAUUGGAAAAUAUUAAUUUUGUGACCACCACACAGAAUAUAAAAAUUAUCAAAAAAAAAAAAACUUAAGGUACCAGCACAAUAACACACUCCACAAACUAUCCUCUAAUCUUUAUCAAGGUAUUAUUUUUGGCCAAUAUUGCACACCCCUAUUUUCUAGUUGACUUGGCUCCAGAUACAUUAUUAUCAUCAUUCAAAAAGAAGUCAUUACAUUUUUUAGGAGAAAUUAAUACUUUUAUUCAGCAAGGAUGCAUUUAAUUAAUCCAAACACAAGAACAAGAGUAAAAUCGAGAUCAGGUGGUUAAAGUAUUUUCAGUUUCUGACUGACUCCAUUUACUCUAACAAGUAGUGCUUAAAUACUUCAGAUUAUGAAAAGCUCCCAAGUGCUAAAAACCCAACCAGACAGAAUGUAGUAACACUUCAGUUGGUUGCAAAAAUCUUCAAGCUGUAUUCUUACCAAACACAGCUGACAAAAUAAUGUUUUACCAUCUAUAUGGAAAAGCAAAGCAACUGCCCAAAAAGCUGAAAUAAAGAAAUUUUCCCCUUUUCUUUCACUACGUGCACUUGAGGAAGACCAAAUUUUUGCCCAAAUAAGUCUUCAAACCGAACACUUCACACUACAGAUGAUUGAGGAAGCAAGUGCAAUCAGCACUUCCUUAUAAUGACCAGGACAGAUGGAGUGACAGACAUGAGUUGGUACAGACUUCUUUCUGCCUUAGAAAAAAAGGUUUGACUCAUCUGAUUGGCUUUGCUGAUAGCUGGAUUUCAUAUGAGUGAAUUCAUUUGCUGUUGGUGGAAUGAAAUCAAGUUGGUUGAGUAAUUAUAAAAAACAAAAAGAAGGAACAAGGAAACUAAUGUUUAGCUAUAUUUGUGAAUUGUAUGUUUAAAACAUCUUCUUGUUAUCCAGUUAUCUACUUUCAAGUACUCUCGAAAACUUUACCAAGCAAGUCUGAACUUGAAUAAAAAGUUUAGGAAUCUUU